rnacentral:rRNA from 1 species
GAUGAACGCUGGCGGCGUGCCUAAUACAUGCAAGUCGAGCGAACAGACGAUGAGCUUGCUCCUCUGACGUUAGCGGCGGACGGGUGAGUAACACGUGGAUAACCUACCUAUAUGACUGUGAUAACUUCGGGACACCGGAGCUAAUACCGGAUAAUAUAUUGAACCGCAUGGUUCAAUAGUGAACUACGUUUUUGCUUUCACUUAUAGAUGGAUCCGCGCCGCAUUAGCUAGUUGGUAAGGUAACGGCUUACCAAGGCAACGAUGCGUAGCCGACCUGAGAGGGGGAUAGGCCACACUGGAAGUGAGACACGGUCCAGACUACUACGGGAGGCAGCAGUAGGGAAUAUGCCGCAAUGGGCGAAAGCAUGACGGAGCAACGCCGCGUGAGUGAUGAAGGUCUUCGGAUCGUAAAAAACUGUUAUUAGGGAAGAAAAAAUGUGUAAGAAACUAUGCACGUAGUGACGGUAACUAAUCAGAAAGCAACGGCUAACUACGUG